rnacentral:lncRNA from 1 species
CUCUCCUCGUCCCCCAAACUGUUUGCUGCUUCUCCUUCUAUGAACCCUUGCUGCUACUCCUUCCUCUCACGUCCCCCCUGCUGUUGCUCUUCUUGCGCCGAUCUGAAGCUGUUCCUUCUCUGAACUUACUGCUGCUCUCUGCCUAAUCUCCCCACGCCUCUGUUGUUCUUCUUGCCCAAACCAUGCUGUUACUCCUUAUCUGAACCUACUAUUGCUACUGCGCUCUGCUGCUUCUUCUCCUAUGUUACUGCUGCUGCACCUUUAUCUUACCCUACUGCUGCUCUACUUCUCUCAUCGCCAACUGCUGCUCUCCUUCUCAACCCCCCUGCUGCCUCUGUUUCUUCUUGAACCUGAACUCUCUCUCUCUCUCUCUGAAUUUUCUGUAAGAUGAGAUGUAAAACUUUGUAAUGUCCAGAUUCUAAAAGCACUUGCAAUCUGAUAUAUGUUUAGUAGGUACUUGUCAUUUUCUGUUAAUUAAUAUUCUGCUAGUGUAUGUGUGUGAUCUCCUUUGUGUUCAUUUCUUGACUUGUGCUUGUUUAGUUCAAAUCAUUUUGUUGAUCUGUGAGCACUUCUUGUAACCCCCUGGUCGUAUACAUGUGUGGUUAUGUGUAUAUUGUAGUCCCUGUGUUAACUAUGUGCAUGUGAAACUAUAUAUGUAUGUGGUGUGAAACUUAUAUUUCCCAGUACUAUACUACUUGUGCAUGUUCAGCACUAUGAUACAUCUUUUAUUUCUAGUUCAUAUAUUCCUCCUAUGUACUUGUGAUAUGUACGUGCUUUUGAUGUGAAUCACUUCUGUCCUUGUCCCAUUAUCUUUGUUCUGUGUUUUUCUUCUUUUAUAUAACUACUAGUUAUUUGUGAUCAUAUAUUAGUACUUCCUUUUUGUCGAUGUUGAUGUUCUGUGUGUUUAUUUUAGUUUCUCAAGUAAUAUGAAAAUACCAAAAAGACAGAGAGUAUAAUCUGAACCUUCCUUUGCUUCUUUUCAUUUUCUUUUGUCGAUGAUUUUUCCCGAAUGAUCUUAGUUAGUCUAGAUUUAAUAUUCUGCUUUCAUCACCCAAUAUUGUGUUACCUAGAUUUAGCCG